rnacentral:rRNA from 1 species
UACGUAGGGUGCGAGCGUUAAUCGGAAUUACUGGGCGUAAAGCGUGCGCAGGCGGUUUUUUAAGACAGGCGUGAAAUCCCCGGGCUUAACCUGGGAACGGCGCUUGUGACUGGAAGGCUAGAGUACGGCAGAGGGGGGUGGAAUUCCACGUGUAGCAGUGAAAUGCGUAGAGAUGUGGAGGAACACCGAUGGCGAAGGCAGCCCCCUGGGCUAACACUGACGCUCAUGCACGAAAGCGUGGGGAACAAACAGG